rnacentral:rRNA from 1 species
UACGAAGGGGGCUAGCGUUGCUCGGAAUCACUGGGCGUAAAGGGUGCGUAGGCGGGUUUUAAGUCAGGGUGAAAUCCUGGAGCUCAACUCCAGAACUGCCUUUGAUACUGAAGAUCUUGAGUCCGGGAGAGGUGAGUGGAACUGCGAGUGUAGAGGUGAAAUUCGUAGAUAUUCGCAAGAACACCAGUGGCGAAGGCGGCUCACUGGCCCGGUACUGACGCUGAGGCACGAAAGCGUGGGGAGCAACAGG